UACAUGAGUGGUGAGCAUUAUUCGUAUUGAUUGGGCGUAAAGGAUGUGUAGACUGUUAAAAUAUUUAUAUAUAACUAAAUUAAAUAAUUAGGAUCUUAUAUAAAAAUUUUAUACUUGAGUUUUUUUAAGGUUAAUAGACUUAAUUAACUAGUGAUUAAAUACUGAGAGUUAAUUAUUGCUUCUAAAGGCUAAAGCAAUUAACUAAAAAAAACUGACGUUGAUACAUGAAAGUAUAGGCGGCGAGAAGGAUUAGGCACCCUAGUAGUCUAUACUGUAAAAGAUGAGUAUUAAAUUUUUUUAAUUUAAGUUAACACGUAAAUACUCCGCCUGGGGAGUACAAUCGCAAGAUUAAAACUUAACAAAAUUGGCGGGAAUUUGUUCAAACGGUGGAACAUGUGGUUUAAUUCGAUAAUCCGCGAAAAAUCUUACCAGCGUUUUUUUGAUUUUUUUUUAAAUUAACGUUUAAUAUAAAUCAAUUUUCGGUGUUGCAUGGCUGUCGUCAGUUCGUACUGUGAGGUGUAGAAUUAAGUUUUUUUUACGAACGCAACCCUCAAAGCCUAAUUUAAAUUUAAUUUUUUUAGGUUAUGGUUUUAUUAAAAAAUUUUAUUAUUUUUUAAUAAAAAGGAAGAUAAGGGGAUGAAGUCAAGUCCUUAUGGCCUUUGUACGCUGGGCUACACACGUGUUACAAAAGUAAAAACAAAGAGUUACUAAAGUGCAAACUGGCGUAAAUCUCUAAAAAUUACUUUAGUUCAGAUUGUUUUCUGUAAUUUGAAAGCAUGAAGCUGAAAUCGUUAGUAAUCGUAGAUUAGUACGCUACGGUGAAUUUAAAAUCAAAUUUUGCACACACCGCCCAUCACGCUCGAAGAAUUAUGUUAACCAGAAGUUGUUUUUAUUUUUUUUUUUUAAAUUUAAUAAUUUCGACUAAAGUUAUAUUGGUGAUUUGAGUGAAGUUG
rnacentral:rRNA from 1 species